rnacentral:rRNA from 1 species
GUGGGGAAUAUUGGGCAAUGGGGGAAACCCUGACCCAGCAACGCCGCGUGAGGGAAGAAGGUUUUCGGAUUGUAAACCUCUGUCCUUGGUGACGAAGGAAGUGACGGUAACCAAGGAGGAAGCCCCGGCUAACUACGUGCCAGCAGCCGCGGUAAUACGUAGGGGGCAAGCGUUGUCCGGAAUGACUGGGCGUAAAGGGCGUGUAGGCGGCCGAUUAAGUCUGGAGUGAAAGUCCUGCUUUCACGGUGGGAAUUGCUUUGGAGACUGGUUGGCUUGAGUGCGGCAGAGGUAAGUGGAAUUCCCAGUGUAGCGGUGAAAUGCGUAGAGAUUGGGAGGAACACCAGUGGCGAAGGCGACUUACUGGGCCGUAACUGACGCUGAGGCGCGAAAGCGUGGGGAGCGAACAGGAUUAGAUACCCGGGUAGUCC